rnacentral:lncRNA from 1 species
CAGAUGGCUUGGCUAUAAUAACCAAAGAUGCUGCCAACUAACUGGCAACAGUAUGAAUUUAAAUCGACUGACAAGAGAAGGAAAGAUCAGCAGCAACUCCUCUGGCACAGUCAGUCAGAGCAUCUCCAUGUAGUCAAACGAUAAGCACUGCAUCUUCACAUUUGCUAUUGUGAUCACUGUUGAACCACAAAGACAAGGAUGGAUGAGGAUAAAGAUACGCUUCUCUGCACAACAUACAGAAGGAAUGGUCCUGGAUUAAAUCAGGGUUCUUAACCUCAAUAAUAAGGAAAAGCACAUGGAUCUCUGCUGACUGAGAUCAGAACCUUAG